rnacentral:rRNA from 1 species
UACGUAGGGUGCAAGCGUUGUCCGGAAUUAUUGGGCGUAAAGAGCUCGUAGGCGGUCUGUCGCGUCGGCUGUGAAAACCCGGAGCUCAACUCCGGGCCUGCAGUCGAUACGGGCAGACUGGAGUUCGGCAGGGGAGACUGGAAUUCCUGGUGUAGCGGUGAAAUGCGUAGAUAUCUGGAGGAAUACCGGUGGCGAAGGCGGCAUCCUGGACCGACAUUGACGCUGA